ACACGACGCUCUUCUGAUCUAUCUAGCGUAUUGAAAUGAUGCGCUACAGCAUAUGACACGGUUCCAGGUUGUCGUUCCAACGGGACAUCCUGAUAACACGU